rnacentral:rRNA from 1 species
CCACGGGACAUGCCUCAGUACGGCGAGUGAAGCGGCAAAAGCUCAAAUUUGAAAUCUAGCACCUUCGGUGUUCGAGUUGUAAUUUGAAGAUGGUAACCUUGGGUUUGGCUCUUGUCUAUGUUCCUUGGAACAGGACGUCAUAGAGGGUGAGAAUCCCGUCUGAUGAGAUGCCCAUUCCUAUGUAAGGUGCUAUCGAAGAGUCGAGUUGUUUGGGAAUGCAGCUCUAAGUGGGUGGUAAAUUCCAUCUAAAGCUAAAUAUUGGCGAGAGACCGAUAGCGAACAAGUACAGUGAUGGAAAGAUGAAAAGAACUUUGAAAAGAGAGUGAAAAAGUACGUGAAAUUGUUGAAAGGGAAGGGCAUUAGAUCAGACUUGGUGUUUUACGAUUAUCUUCUCUUCUUGAGUUGUGCACUCGUAUUUCACUGGGCCAGCAUCGAUUCGGAUGGCAAGAUAAUGGCAGUUGAAUGUGGCUUCACUUCGGUGGAGUGUUAUAGCUUCUGCUGAUAUUGCCUGUCUGGAUCGAGGGCUGCGUCUUUUGACUAGGAUGCUGGCGUAAUGAUCUAAUGCCGCCAAUCUUGAACAACGGGACCCAAAA